AUAUCCAGGAUGUAAUUCCCUAAGCAGGGACCUUGCCUAAUGUGUUCACUGCUAUAUAUUUAGCACCCAGAGCACUGCCAUGCCCAUAAGUGGAACGAACCAAUAAAUAAAUAAGUGAAAUAUUCAAUAAACAUGGAAACUAGCAAGGCCCGCAGCCACUCUGCAGAUCUGGGACUCUGCCAGGAGAAGACCAGGAAAAAUACAUCAGGAAAAAUAGAUAAAAUUACUCCCUGUGAGCUUCAGCACCCUUGCCUCAGUCAGGCAGCAACUUCAUAAGUCAACUUGCAUCUUGCUGCCAUGCUAACAUUGGUGACACCAGAACUUUACCGGUAGCGAAAGGAGAUCUGUUUCUAACCAGAACAAGGGGAUUCUUUUUUUUUUUUUUUUCUCCGCUUUCCAACAGAGACUAAAUUAUGAGGUCUAAAUCUGCAUAAAGCUUUCAAAUAGAGCCUUGACCAGUGCUGAAUCGACUUGAAGAAUGAUGAAGGGUUGGCUUCUCUCUCUCGGCAGCUGCGACUUUGGUCAGCCCUUUGCAGAGUAAGAGGAAAUUUAAUGAACCCAAAUAAGACAUGAUCCUUUGUGGCUAUAAAAGUUACACUUUGAAAAAGCUCAGCUGGUCAAGAGCCACUUGAAAAUGAUGUUACUGCUGGGGAACUCUGUCAAAAGUCCACUCCUCUGGAUUUCGUGCAUGAUAUUCUACCACCAAAGUCAUCAACUGGAGGAUUUCCGAAAGGAUCCAGAGAAACAACCGCCUAAUUCAUAUUCUAUGGCUUCUAAUUGUACAAGCAGCACAUUUUAGAAAUCUUUUGUGCUGAGGAACCUUCAUUUGUAGAACACUUCGUUUGCUUAUACAGGAGGCAACGGUGCUUAACUGGCGUAAUUAUUAUGUGUUUCUAGUUUGCCUCAAAUUCUGAUUCAAUCAGAAUCCCUAAAUCUGACAGCCUGUAAUCAAACAAAGAGAGUGCUCUGGAAGCAAGGGAUUAACAGAGGGGAAUUAAAUUGUCGUUUUCAAACAGCUUAGACCAAUAUGAAAGCCCAUUUAGGAGUCUCUCCAUAAAUAUCCCUUUUGUUUUGUCUAAUUGCCGGUUUGAAUGUAUCAGACUCAUC
rnacentral:lncRNA from 1 species